UACGUAGGUGGCAAGCGUUGUCCGGAUUUACUGGGCGUAAAGGGUGCGUAGGCGGACAGGUAAGUCAGUGGUGAAAUCUCCGAGCUUAACUCGGAAACUGCCUUUGAUACUCUCUGUCUUGAAUAUGGUGGAGGUAAGCGGAAUAUGUCAUGUAGCGGUAGAAAUGCUUAGAGAUGACAUAGAACACCUAUUGCGAAGGCAGCUUACUACGCCUAUAUUGACGCUGAGGCACGAAAGCGUGGGGAUCAAACAGG
rnacentral:rRNA from 1 species